AUUGAACGCUGGCGGCAUGCUUUACACAUGCAAGUCGAACGGCAGUGCGGGGCAACCUGGCGGCGAGUGGCGAACGGGUGAGUAAUACAUCGGAACGUACCCAGAAGUGGGGGAUAACGUAGCGAAAGUUACGCUAAUACCGCAUACGUUCUACGGAAGAAAGUGGGGGACCUUCGGGCCUCAUGCUUUUGGAGCGGCCGAUGUCUGAUUAGCUAGUUGGUGAGGUAAAGGCUCACCAAGGCGACGAUCAGUAGCUGGUCUGAGAGGACGACCAGCCACACUGGGACUGAGACACGGCCCAGACUCCUACGGGAGGCAGCAGUGGGGAAUUUUGGACAAUGGGCGCAAGCCUGAUCCAGCAAUGCCGCGUGAGUGAAGAGGGCCUUCGGGUUGUAAAGCUCUUUUGUCAGGGAAGAAACGGCUGAGGAUAAUACCUUCGGCUAAUGACGGUACCUGAAGAAUAAGCACCGGCUAACUACGUG
rnacentral:rRNA from 1 species